rnacentral:rRNA from 2 species
AAGUCUGAUGGAGCAACGCCGCGUGAGUGAAGAAUGUUUCGGCUCGUAAAACUCUGUUGUUAAAGAAGAACAUAUCUGAGAGUAACUGUUCAGGUAUUGACGGUAUUUAACCAGAAAGCCACGGCUAACUACGUGCCAGCAGCCGCGGUAAUACGUAGGUGGCAAGCGUUGUCCGGAUUUAUUGGGCGUAAAGCGAGCGCAGGCGGUUUUUUAAGUCUGAUGUGAAAGCCUUCGGCUUAACCGAAGAAGUGCAUCGGAAACUGGGAAACUUGAGUGCAGAAGAGGACAGUGGAACUCCAUGUGUAGCGGUGAAAUGCGUAGAUAUAUGGAAGAACACCAGUGGCGAAGGCGGCUGUCUGGUCUGUAACUGACGCUGAGGCUCGAAAGUAUGGGUAGCAAACAGGAUUAGAUACCCUGGUAGUCCAUACCGUAAACGAUGAAUGCUAAGUGUUGGAGGGUUUCCGCCCUUCAGUGCUGCAGCUAACGCAUUGAGCAUUCCGCCUGGGGAGUACGGCCGCAAGGCUGAAACUCAAAGGAAUUGACGGGGGCCCGCACAAGCGGUGGAGCAUGUGGUUUAAUUCGAAGCUACGCGAAGAACCUUACCAGGUCUUGACAUACUAUGCAAAUCUAAGAGAUUAGACGUUCCCUUCGGGGACAUGGAUACAGGUGGUGCAUGGUUGUCGUCAGCUCGUGUCGUGAGAUGUUGGGUUAAGUCCCGCAACGAGCGCAACC